rnacentral:rRNA from 1 species
AGUGAACGCUGGCGGCAGGCCUAACACAUGCAAGUCGAACGGCAGCACGGCAGUAGCAAUACUGUGGGUGGCGAGUGGCGGACGGGUGAGGAUACAUCGGGAUCUACCCUGUUGUGGGGGGAUAACGUAGGGAAACUUACGCUAAUACCGCAUAAGAACUGAGGUUGAAAGCGGCGGACCGCAAGGCGUCGCGCGAUUGGAUGAACCGAUGUCCGAUUAGCUAGUUGGCGGGGUAAAGGCCCACCAAGGCGACGAUCGGUAGCUGGUCUGAGAGGACGACCAGCCACACUGGAACUGAGACACGGUCCAGACUCCUACGGGAGGCAGCAGUGGGGAAUUUUGGACAAUGGGCGCAAGCCUGAUCCAGCCAUGCCGCGUGCGGGACGAAGGCCUUCGGUUGUAACCGCUUUCAGCUGGAAGAAAUCGCUGUUUUAAUACGGUACAGUGGAUGACGGUACCGGAAGAAGAAGCACCGGCUAACUACGUAGCCAGCAGCCGCGGU